AAUCAAAUUAGCUAGCUCUGGUACAUAGUGGCCAGCAUAACUCUCGCCGGUUAUGAAGAAAUCACGGUCUCGGUACUUGGGAAAUCUCUCCAGCCAAUUGACAAGGAAGGUGUACGCAUCAUCUGUGCUUCUUUUGUCACCAGUGUUGUGAUAGUCUGAUGUCGUGUUGGAGUAUGAGUACCCAACACCGGCUGGGAUCUCAACAAACAGCAUAUUUGCUACUGCAUUUGUGGAUGAAGACUGUGUCUUGUUAUCACUAUGGACAGAGAAGGGUCCAAGUUCUAGCAUGGCUCCAGCUCCAAAGGAUGAACAACCAGGGCCUGCAAACCUCAUUAGCAAUAGUCCUCAAAGAAGGUUUGUAACAGGAUUCAAUCUCAAGUGCACAUCUGCAUCGUUGCUGGUCUCACUCACAUAGUUUUAUGGUUAAAUUAUACUGCAAGUUUAUGGAUAAGCAGAGCACAUAUAACAUACCUCCAUUCAUCCAUAGGACUAGUGGUUUGUUGGAAGGAUCUUGAGGAGCCUCAGCAAAAUAGUAGAACAAAGCCCUUCCAGCAUUUGCAUCCACCGUGACAUAUCCUGCAUAUUGUGUGAAUUCCGCUUCCUCCAUCUGGCCUGGCAUUGCUAUGAUCUUAUCCCUCUUUCGCUGAUAAUCUUGUGAGCCACCAUGGACUGAAGAACUAGAAGGGCUCUUGCUCGCAGAUGCAUGCUGUUUUGCUGGAACAUAUUUCCUGGAUAUUUCCAAUUGAUCAAACUCAAUAGGGUGUUUGGGCUUGUUGCCGGUAGCUGUGUCUGCCACACAGAGGCAGAACAAGGACCAAAGUACUACUAGUAGGCCUCUUUUCAUCUUGAUAGGAAGCGUGUGCAUGUGUGUUCGGGGUCCUGUGCUGUGUUGCCAUUGGCCAAUCUUCAUUUAUAGCGGGACAUUC